ensembl:lncRNA
GUUGCCUGAGAGUAGAACUGUAUUUGAGAUAUGGAAACUACUAUCUUAUAUAUAAAAAGCAUUGUUGUUACCUGGCUGAGCUCCAGUUCUGCUUCCUGGGUGAUUGGGACCAUCCUCAGCAUCCUGUAUGGACUCGGGCUCUUCCUCCUGUUCCUUCCCUCCCUCCAGAGGGAUUUGCCCUUACAACCACCUUACAAAAGGAGAAAGGUCAGGAAGGUAAGAAAUCCUGGACUGAGACCCACCAGAAGAUGAGUCUCCCUUCUUUUUUACUGUGAUUUCCACUUCUCUGAAUCAACUAGAGAGACUCUGGGGAGGGGAAACAAUAGGACAUCAUCCUUCUAGGGACAAGCCAGUUUGGGUGGGCAGGGGUGAGAGUGGGCACAAGGAUUUCCAUCUGAAGAUCUCGGAGCAGGAGUCCCGGUGUGGCAGAGGGCUCCAGGGAAAGUCCCCAGGCCAGUGACCAGUGGCCAAGGACGGGAUGCUGAGUGGGAUCUGUGGGAAGACAGGCCCUGAGCACUGGUUCCCCAGCCGCCUUUCUGGUGCAGGUGUCUUGACCAGGCCUUUUCUCUAUCGUGGAUGAUCUGAGGGCAGAGCUGAGCCCCCAAGAACCUCUAAGCAGGACCUGGAGUGGGGCUGUGGCCUCAGGAAGAAAAGUUCUCCCUGAGGAAGCUCAUAAGAUUCCGUAUAUCUGAGAAUGUGUGCAUUUCUUGAGCAGAGAAACAGUGACAGAAGAUCUAUGCUGGGUCCCACAUGGGGACCUUCUUAUGAUCCUCAAAGAAGGAAGACAGCAAGUGUCCAUUUUGUGUUCAAUUCUCCACUUCAAAAGUAAGUAAAAGGGAAGAAACACCCGAGAGCCCAAGGAGUUCAGUGUAGACAGUCAUCUUGCUCAUGAACGCUGGGUGUCUGCAGUGGGUCGAGAGAGAGGAGAGGGAGCCUUGGGUCUCAGACCCCACAGUUUCUUGUUUUUUCUCUCAUUUCAGUGUCAAGUGGAGCAGAGAGGGAGGAGAAGCAGGAGCAGGACGAAAAGGGCAGCUUUGAAAGCUCCCCAGGGAGGCUGUCUUCUAAGGGAUGCUUCCAUCGCUUGUCAUCUCAAGACUCCCUGGGGGAGGCCUGCAGGACAGCAUCUGCCAGAGUCCACCAACCAUGCGGGAAGGCUGUGGAAGGUGCUUCUCUCACCAUGACUCCAGCACUUUUCCUUGCUCCUCUGACACAGCCCACUCUACCUUUGGCCUCCAGUCUGCCAGCAGAACCUCCAUCUGACUUGACCAGAAUCCCGCUAGGCCGUGUUGCCAUGAGCUCAGCUCCAGCUCACUCCUGUUGGCCAUUUCCCAACUCAGGCCUCUGCCACAUGAGCUGUCGCAUUGAGUUCCUCUCCCAGUGGAACAUGAUCAAGGUCUUGCUCUUCCCCUGGUCAUCACAAUUCGAGUCCAAGCAAGGGCACCUGUCCUGACACCAACCAGUGCCCUCAUUCUGGGGAGGCCCCACAAAUAGGGAGGGAGAGACUGAUAGCCCCUCAGUUGCCAACCCUGAUGUCCAGAAGCUGAUCGAGACAGAAAUCACAGAAAGAAUACAAACGAAGUUCUGGGAAAAAGAAGAACAAGAUGAUCCAGGCACUCCUCAGAUGACCAAACACCCAGUAUCAUGUCUGGGCUGAAUUUCUGCUGGCACCUACCCCUCCUGUCCUUGGAUUCUGCUGAUCUGAAAGCAUGUGAGGUUCAACCCUUGGCCCAUCCACGGUCCACUUUUCCCUCCUCUGCCACCUGUGAUUCUGGCACCCACUUGAAAGCCGAAAUUGCAGAGUUCUUGGGAAAACCCCUUGAGCCCCAUCCAGGAGAGAAACAUAAGACUUUGACAACAAAAGCAUCAGUUCCCAUGCUGUCCUGUCCCCUCCCUUCAACUUCACCUGUGAGUGAGGAAAACCAGAAGGCCCUGGGAGGGACCCUACCUGGUGAUGGCUGUGGGCACUCAGAGGCCUUUCUGAUGGGACAGGAGAGCCGACUACCUUCUCCGAGCUUUGCAUUCAGCCUCUCGGACAGAAAUGGGCAGAGUGGGACUGUUGUGGGGGCCGAGCAAGGCCGUCUACACCUGAGUCCAGGGUCGGCAAUGGGCAGGAAUAAGCCUCUGAAAGAGAGUGGAGGUGGGGCGUCACCAGAGCCCUGCCGUGGGGUGGCAACACUGAAGGGGGAGUCAGGGUCCCAGUCUUGGAGCCAGGUGGGAGGAAUAGGAGAUGCCCUAGG